AUGGCCAUAUCACAUUGAACCACCAGUUCUCAUAAGUUCAACAAAGUUAAGCAACAUCAAGCCUUUUCAGUACCUUGAUGGGUGACCACUUGAGAAUACUAGGUGCUGUAAG